rnacentral:rRNA from 1 species
CCUACGGGAGGCAGCAGUGAGGAAUAUUGGUCAAUGGACGAAAGUCUGAACCAGCCAUGCCGCGUGCAGGAAGACGGCUCUAUGAGUUGUAAACUGCUUUUGUACAAGGGUAAACCCAGAUACGCGUAUCUGGCUGAAAGUACUGUACGAAUAAGGAUCGGCUAACUCCGUGCCAGCAGCCGCGGUAAUACGGAGGAUUCAAGCGUUAUCCGGAUUUAUUGGGUUUAAAGGGUGCGUAGGCGGUUGGAUAAGUUAGAGGUGAAAUUUCGAGGCUCAACUCGGGAAUUGCCUCUGAUACUGUUCGGCUAGAGAGUAGAUGCGGUAGGCGGAAUGUAUGGUGUAGCGGUGAAAUGCUUAGAGAUCAUACAGAACACCGAUUGCGAAGGCAGCUUACCAAUCUAUAUCUGACGUUGAGGCACGAAAGCGUGGGGAGCAAACAGGAUUAGAUACCCCAGUAGUC